GGGGAAUCUUGCGCAAUGCGCGAAAGCGUGACGCAGCAACACCGCGUGAGGGAAGACGGCCUUAGGGUUGUGAACCUCUUUCAGAUGGGACGAAGGUCAUCCGGUGAAUAGCCGAGGUGGUUGACGGUACCGUCAGAAGAAGCUCCGGCUAACUACGUGCCAGCAGCCGCGGUAAUACGUAGGGAGCGAGCGUUGUCCGGAAUCAUUGGGCGUAAAGAGCGCGUAGGCGGGUCAUCCAGUCUGCUGUGAAAGUCAAAGGCUCAACCUUUGAAAGCCGGCGGAUACUGAUGAUCUAGAGUUCGGAAGAGGCGAGUGGAAUUCCUGGUGUAGCGGUGGAAUGCGCAGAUAUCAGGAGGAACACCAAUAGCGAAGGCAGCUCGCUGGGACGAUACUGACGCUGAGGCGCGAAAGCGUGGGGAGCAAAC
rnacentral:rRNA from 1 species